rnacentral:rRNA from 1 species
AGCAGCCGCGGUAAUUCCAGCUCCAAUAGCGUAUAUUAAAGUUGUUGCAGUUAAAAAGCUCGUAGUUGAAUUUCGGGAUCAAUACGUCGGUCGUGCUUUCGGGUACGUACUGGCGUCAUUGGUUUCUCCUUUCUGACGAACCAUGAUGUCAUUAAUUUGGUGUUAUGGGGAGUUAGGACUGUUACUUUGAAAAAAUUAGAGUGUUUAAAGCAGGCAUUAGCUUGAAUACAUUAGCAUGGAAUAAUGAAAUAGGACGUUCGAUCCUAUUUUGUUGGUUUCUAGGAUCAACGUAAUGAUUAAUAGGGAUAGUUGGGGGCAUUAGUAUUCAAUUGUCAGAGGUGAAAUUCUUGGAUUUAUUGAAGACUAACUACUGCGAAAGCAUUUGCCAAGGAUGUUUUCAUUAAUCAAGAACGAAAGUUAGGGGAUCGAAGACGAUCAGAUACCGUCGUAGUCUUAACCAUAAACUAUGCCGACUAGGGAUCGGAUGAUGCUAAUUUUUUAAUGACUCAUUCG